GAUGAACGCUGGCGGCGUGCCUAAUACAUGCAAGUCGAGCGAAUGGAUUAAGAGCUUGCUCUUAUGAAGUUAGCGGCGGACGGGUGAGUAACACGUGGGUAACCUGCCCAUAAGACUGGGAUAACUCCGGGAAACUGGGGCUAAUACCGGAUAACAUUUUGAACCGAAUGGUUCGAAAUUGAACGGCGGCUUCGGCUGUCACUCAUGGAUGGACCCGCGUCGAAUUAGUUAGUUGGUGAGGUAACGGCCCACCAAGGCAACGAUGCGUAGCCGACCUGAGAGGGUGAUCGGCCACACUGGGACUGAGACACGGCCCAGACUCCUACGGGAGGCAGCAGUAGGGAAUCUUCCGCAAUGGACGAAAGUCUGACGGAGCAACGCCGCGCGAGUGAUGAAGGCUUUCGGGUCGUAAAACUCUGUUGUUAGGGAAGAACAAGUGCUAGUUGAAUAAGCUGGCACCUUGACGGUACCUAACCAGAAAGCCACGGCUAACUACGUGCCAGCCGCCGCAGUAA
rnacentral:rRNA from 1 species